rnacentral:rRNA from 1 species
UGAAUACGAGACGCUAAGGCGUCGAAGUAGUGUAUGUCAUACUUCCAAGAAAAGCUUGCACUGUCAUAGAUAAAAAACGCCUGUACCAUAACCGACACAGGUGGGUAGGUAGAGUAUACUAAGGGGCGCGAGAUAACUCUCUCUAAGGAACUCGGCAAAAUAACUCCGUAACUUCGGGAGAAGGAGUGCCUUAUUCGUAAGGUUGCAAUAACAAGAUCCAAGCAACUGUUUAUCAAAAACACAGGUCUCCGCUAAGUCGUAAGACGAUGUAUGGGGGCUGACGCCUGCCCAGUGCCAGAAGGUUAAAGAAGUUGGUUAGCAAUUGCGAAGCUGAUAACUGAAGCCCUGGUGAACGGCGGCCGUAACAAUAACGGUCCUAAGGUAGCGAAAUUCCUUGUCGGGUAAGUUCCGACCCGCACGAAAGGCGUAAUGAUUUGGAUACUGUCUCGGAGAGGGGCUCGGUGAAAUAGACUUGUCUGUGAAGAUGCGGACUACCUGCACCAGGACAGAAAGACCCUAUGGAGCUUUACUGUAACUUGAAAUUGAAAUUGGACUUUAUUCGCGCAGUAUAGGUGGGAGGCGUUGAUUAUAAUCUUGUGGGAUUAUUGGAGCCAUCAGUGAGAUACCACUCUUGUAAUGUUAGAUUUCUAACUUUGAAUCAUUAUCUGGUCAAAGAACAGUUUCAGGCGGGCAGUUUGACUGGGGCGGUCGCCUCCUAAACGGUAACGGAGGCGUACAAAGGUUUCCUCUGAACGGUUAGAAAUCGUAUCUAGAGUGUAAAGGCAUAAGGAAGCUUGACUGUGAGACCUACAAGUCGAGCAGGGACGAAAGUCGGUCUUAGUGAUCUGACGGUACUGAGUGGAAAGGCCGUCACUCAACGGAUAAAAGUUACUCUAAGGAUAACAGGCUGAUCUCCCCCAAGAGUUCACAUCGACGGGGAGGUUUGGCACCUCGAUGUCGGCUCAUCGCAUCCUGGGGCGGUAGUACGUCCCAAGGGUUGGGCUGUUCGCCCAUGAAAGCGGUACGCGAGCUGGGUUCAGAACGUCGUGAGACAGUUCGGUCCAUAUCCGGUGUAGGCGUUAGAAUAUUGAGAGGAGCCUUCUUUAGUACGAGAGGACCGAGAAGGACAUACCUCUGGUGUACCAGUUAUCGUGCCAACGGUAAACGCUGGGUAGCUAUGUAUGGAGUGGAUAACCGCUGAAAGCAUCUAAGUGGGAAGCCCACCUCAAGAUAAGUAUUCUCAUCAC